UGCAGUCGAUCGCUCUUUUCGGAGAGAGAGGCGCACGGGUGAGUAACACGUGGGAAUAUACCCUUGAGUACGGAAUAACUAUUGGAAACGAUAGCUAAUACCGUAUACGCCCUACGGGGGAAAGAUUUAUCGCUCAAGGAUUAGCCCGCGUCUGAUUAGCUAGUUGGUGAGGUAAUGGCUCACCAAGGCGACGAUCAGUAGCUGGUUUGAGAGAAUGAUCAGCCACACUGGGACUGAGACACGGCCCAGACUCCUACGGGAGGCAGCAGUGGGGAAUAUUGGACAAUGGGCGCAAGCCUGAUCCAGCCAUGCCGCGUGAGUGAAGAAGGCCUUCGGGUUGUAAAGCUCUUUCAGACGUGAAGAUGAUGACGGUAACGUCAGAAGAAGGACCGGCUAACUCCGUGCCAGCAGCCGCGGUAAUACGGAGGGUCCGAGCGUUAAUCGGAAUUACUGGGCGUAAAGCGCGCGUAGGCGGCUAGGUCAGUCAGAUGUGAAAGCCCCGGGCUUAACCUGGGAAUUGCAUCUGAUACUGCUUGGCUAGAGUACAGAAGAGGGUGGUGGAAUUUCCUGUGUAGCGGUGAAAUGCGUAGAUAUAGGAAGGAACAUCAGUGGCGAAGGCGGCCACCU
rnacentral:rRNA from 1 species